rnacentral:lncRNA from 1 species
GGUGCCCGGGGCCCUGUGGGAGCCGGGGAGACCCAGGGCAGGACCCCAGCCUGUCCCUUGCAGCACGCCCUGAGCCCGGGGUUGCCAGUGAGGCCCUGCGCCCCCCGGACUCCAGCUCCUUCCUCAACAGAGCCCCUGUUCAGGGGCAGCCUCCCCACUGGGGCCCUUUCCGGGCCGGGAAGGAAGGGACGGGGAGCUCAGUCCUGGCCACUGCCUGGCCUGCCCCAGGGCCUGGCCUCUUCUGGGGGCCCCGCCAUGGCUGGCCGGCCGCUUUCCUCACCUUCCCGAGUGUCCUCUGCCUUCUCAGACCUCAGCUGCGUCCCCUCGGGGCCGCUGCCCCUUCGUCAGCGGGCACGUCGCACAGCGAUGCAGCGUCUCCGGGGCCCCUGCUGACUUUGCUGGGAAGGGAAGUCCACUUGCAGACGGCAGGUGGUCGGUCACACUGGCACCUCCCUGCGCCCUGCAGCCUGUGGCCUCUGGUCUCGUGUCCACCGGCUUCUCCCACGGAGGUUGCGGACAGGGCCGUGGGGGCCACAACGAAUCCGAGGCCUCCUGCUCCGGGUCCCAGAGAUGCCACCCCAGGCGCUGGGGAGGGCUCCUGGCCACGCUCACGCCCUCUCCUCUGCCGCCCUCUCCUGGCCCAGCAAGGCGAGGCCCCGGGGGCGCGGGCGGGAGGGACACAUCUGCUGGCUUCUCUGUGCCACUGGCCCCUGUGGCAGGGACAGAGCAGCAAACUGUAAAAGACGAUGCGACUUCAGCGUCCGAGCUAGGGAAGCCGAGGCUGUGGGGGGAGCAGGGCACCUGUGCAGGGCUGACGGAAGGUUCUGGAGCUUCCGGGACAGGCGGGGCCAGGAGAGACAAUGAGGAGGGUGUUGCCACCAGACUCAGUGCUCCGCUGUGGAGGAGCCCAGCCCACAGGCCCGCGGCCAAGGGUCAGGACUGCUCUGGGCGUCGCUGCGCCGGACGUGACCGGUUACAGCCCUGGGCGCCGCCCCCUUGGCAGCCUCCAGGACGUGCACCACCAGGUUCCAGGCCCGGUGACUACGGCAGGUGGCAUGAGAGGCAUGAGUCUGCCGCGGUCAUCCAGCAGCACCUGCCGAGCACACACACCCCAGCCCCGCCCAGCCGUGAUGCUGUGACCGGGACGCCCAUGCUGGCCGGAUCAUGUGGGGGCAGCGCAGGCGUCUGCGUGGGCAGCAUCCAGUUCUCG